AGGAACGCCUCGGGCNGGCCGAGGCCUCAACACAUGGCCAGAUUCGCAGACGGGAAACCAGAUUAUCCCGAACCUUCCGGGUAACGAUAACGGCGUCCAGACGGCGGACGGGUGAAUAAUGCCUAAGAAAUUGCCCUGAUGUGGGGGAUAACCAUUCGAAACCAUGGCUAAUACCGCAUGAUGCCUACGGGCCAAAGAGGGGGACCUUCGGGCCUCUCGCGUCAGGAUAUGCCUAGGUGGGAUUAGCUAGUUGGUGAGGUAAGGGCUCACCAAGGCGACGAUCCCUAACUGGUCUGAGAGGAUGAUCAACCACACUGGAACUGAAACACCGUCCAGACUCCUACGGGAGGCAGCAGUGGGGAAUAUUGCACAAUGGGCGCAAGCCUGAUGCAGCCAUGCCCCGUGUAUGAAAAAAGCCUUCGGGUUGUAAAAUACUUUCAGUCGUGAGGAAAGCGGCGUCCUUNAUAGCGGCCUUGUUUGACNUUAGCUACCGAAGAAGCACCGGCUAACUCCGUGCCAGCAGCCGCGGUUAUACCGAGGGUGCGAACGUUAAUCGGAAUUACUGGGCGUUAAGCGCAUGCCCGGUGGUUUGUUUAAAUUCAAAUGUGAAAGCCCCGGGCUCAACCUCGGAAUAACAUUUGAAACUGGCAAACUAAAGUACUGU
rnacentral:rRNA from 1 species